UAAAAUAAUCAGUAUAUGUGGUUUUAACUUAAAAUAUUGUAGAAUCACACAAUGUCUUUUAUUUCUACAAUAAUUUACAUAGAAUCUAUUAUUGAUAUCUUAAAUCAAACUAACAAACUCAUUUUGAUUAAAUUAUAUUUGAAACUCUAUCAUGCAGCAUGUUAGAAUACAAUAUAUAAAUUUAGAUUUAACAAUAAUAAUAUUAAUUUUGUUCUAACACAGGCACACAUAUAAUUAUAUACAAUCAAUAUUUUUAACAAUCCAUUUAUAAUAGCAUGAGUGAUGUGAAAUUAUAUAUACAGUCAUGAAUAUUGUAAGCAAGUUUGCAUAGAACCAUAGAUAUAGAGGACCUAGAGAAACUAAAUGAAAUUGUGGGCGUGGCUAUGCUAAGUCUAAGAUUGCGCAUGCUCAGUAGAUCUAGAUCUGUGAAACCAUGUGCUCCAAAAAAAGAGAAGACUCCCUUACUAUAAUUAUGCUGGACAUUUGCUGCUAUAAAUCUGACUGUGAUGAUACUUCUGUGAGAGGUAUGACUGUGACUCGACUACACCAAGUGGAUGAUGAUACUUCUAGUUCUGUAAGAGGUAUGACUGUGACUACACCAAGUGGAUGAUGAUACUUCUGUGAGAGAAAUUCCUUAAACUGGCAAGCUUGACAUGCGAGAACAAACGAAACAAACAGACGAAUGGAUAGAAGUGGCGUCAUUGUUGGAUAUCCUCUCGGUGAUUGAUAAUACACGGUAAUAAUUAAUAUCAAUAACAAUGAUGUAUUUACUAUUAUAGGUGGACUCUGCAUGGUCAAGAGUGAUCGGUCUGCUAUACUUGUGAGUCCAGUAUGUUACACCAAGGAGAAUUACUAUUAUUAAUUUAAAACUGUCCUUCUAAUUUAACAUUGUAUACCAUUGUCUCACUCAGUUGUCACGAACGUUUCCUAUCACUAUUUUUGUAUUAACAUGUUAUUUAUUGAAUUGAAUAAUAAUUGUUAUACCGA